UCUAUGCUCGCUAUCCCAAGGUUCAUUGCGAUCCCAAGGUUCACUGCGGUUUUCCACAAGCCUGUUUCUGCCUAUCACCAUGAGUGAUUCCUCAAUACUCAGAUUUAUCAUCAAGAUCUCAAUUAUAAGCUCAAGUUUUGAUGACAACUUGGUGAUCUGCAGAAAGCCCCACCAUGUAAGGAAGGCCAAGACCACUCUGGAAUCAGUCAAGGCUCAUAGGAACUCCAAUCUUCCCAACUGUGAGAGGGCCUUGCUCCAGUGACUGAUUGCAGUGACCAGACAUGCUACUGUAACUCUCAUGGUCAUGUGCUGGAAUUAGCAGAUAUUCAACAAUUUGGCCAUCUCGCUGACCUGUUGAUAUCAGAAGACCGCAACAGCUCUACAAAGCAAGUUGCAAAACAGAAUCCAUGAAACUGGCAGUGACUGGAAACCAAUUGGAAGACUUUGGUCUGUGAUGUAGAGGAGUGGGCAGAGGGUGAGGAAAUUCUUAUUAAUAUUACAUGUAGUCAUGAAAAAUUGUGUUACUAUUACUGUCAUUUUUUUUUCAGUAGCAGAAGCAAAGACAACAAAAAACAGAAGUGAUAUGGAUGUCUUUGUCAUA
ensembl:lincRNA